rnacentral:rRNA from 1 species
UACAGAGGGGGCAAGCGUUGUUCGGAAUUACUGGGCGUAAAGGGCGCGUAGGCGGCCUGCUAAGUCGAACGUGAAAUCCCCGGACUCAACCCGGGAACUGCGUCCGAUACUGGGAGGCUUGAAUCCGGGAGAGGGAUGUGGAAUUCCAGGUGUAGCGGUGAAAUGCGUAGAUAUCUGGAGGAACACCGGUGGCGAAGGCGGCAUCCUGGACCGGUAUUGACGCUGAUGCGCGAAAGCCAGGGGAGCAAACGGG